CAGCAGGGGUGGAAGCGUUAAAUAAAUGGGCCACCCUGCACCUGUUUAGAAGAGCAGGAGCUCUCGGUGAACUGACAGAAUGUUGAGCCAAGUUCCUUGUGCUACACAGAAGGUCCUUGUUAUCUAUUAAACAUAACAGUUCCUCUCUGACUUGAAGCCUAUUCUGAGACCCCUGCUGUGGAGAGGAGAGAGUACAGCUCUCUGUUCCAGGAGGUGGCACAGUGGUAAAGAAUCUGCCUGACAAUGCAGGAGAUACAAGAGAUGUGGGUUCAGUCUGAUCCCUGGCUUGGGAAGAUCCCCUGGAGUAAGAAACGGCAGCCCACUCAAACAUUCUUGCCUGGAGAGUUCCACGGACAGAGGAGCCAGUGGGUUGUAGAGUGUUGGGCACGACUGAGCAUGCGUACAACAAGAGAAUAAUUUCCGUGCUGUUUGUAACGGUAAGGUGCUUGAGG
ensembl:lncRNA